UUGUGGAAAAAUAGAAUUGAAAGAAAGGAAGAAAGAGAAUGCAAUCGUCAAAUCUCACUUCACUACCUGAAGAUGAUGAACAACAACAACAUCAACAAAAUCAAAAGCCACCAUCAUUCUCUGCUUUUGCUUCCCUUCCAACUCGCCCUGCUACUCAGAGUUGUUUACAAAAGUACGCUCCAUUGGAGUGGACAGGAUUGUUUGACAAGGAGGAAGAUGUCUGCAUUCCUGACUCCAAUGAUGUAUUUCAUGUAUACAUGGCAGGGACAGAGGGACCUGUUGUUUUUUGUUUACAUGGAGGUGGUUAUUCUGGGCUUUCAUUUGCGCUCUCAGCGAGUAAAAUUAAGGAGAAAGCUCGGGUAGUUGCUAUGGACUUGAGAGGACAUGGAAAGACUUCGACUGAAAAUGAGCUCGACCUUUCUGUUGAGGCUAUGUGUAAUGAUUUUUUCGCUGUAGUGAAGGCAAUGUAUGGAGAUUCUCCUCCAGCAAUUGUGCUUGUUGGCCACAGCAUGGGGGGAUCAGUUGCUGUGCAUGUUGCUGCUAAAAGAGCGUUACCAAGCUUGGCUGGGCUGGUUGUUGUGGAUGUCGUGGAGGGAACAGCUAUGGCUUCAUUGAUUCACAUGCAGAAACUCUUAUCAAGUAGAAUGCAGCAUUUUUCUAGUUUGGAAAAAGCGAUAGAAUGGAGUGUCAAGGGAGGUUCAUUAAGAAACAUCGAUUCUGCUCGGGUAUCUGUGCCUACCACAUUAAAAUACAACGAUGCAAAGAACUGUUAUGUUUAUAGAACCUGCUUGGAGGAAACAGAACAAUAUUGGAGAGGCUGGUAUGAAGGCCUUUCAGAUAAAUUUCUAUCAUGUCCCGUUCCCAAGCUCUUGCUUUUAGCAGGAACAGACAGACUGGACAGAUCUCUUACAAUUGGGCAAAUGCAAGGCAAGUUCCAAAUGGUAGUUGUCAGACACACUGGACAUGCUAUACAGGAAGACACACCCGAUGAAUUUGCGACACUGGUAGUUAAUUUUAUAUCCCGUAACCGGAUAGGUCCUCAUGGGGUCGAGAUACCUGGUCUCCACCGACCAUCACAACCACAACAAUGAAUCAGUGGCCUGCGAUGGACAAAAGAAGUUGACGGAAAUGUUUUUACCUUGAGAUGGAUAUGCAUCAUGCAUGAAUUGAAAAAAACUUUAGUAAAUGUGCCCAGUUUGAAUUACCUCAUACAUUUAGAAGAGUUGGGUUCAUUGUUCAGCGAAGGAGGAGUGAAAAAUAUGCUGGGACCCGUCUGAUGUCGACAGUCCAAAGACCAGAGAGCGUUAACUUAACCGGAAGCGCACGGGUUUCCACAUACAACCAGAACAGGCUAGCUUACGCCGAUAUUUGUAUUUAAUAAUUCGCCUAAGAGGAAGCAUAUUCUCCUUUCUGAACUUCAUUUUCACUGCCUUUUGUCUCUUACAGUUGUGCUGUCUUUUAUUUCUGUUUUGAUUUUAUCCUCAGUGUUGAUUACAAAUCACUCAAUUUUGCCAAAAUAUUAAGACAGUUAAGUCGA